rnacentral:rRNA from 1 species
AAGGAGUGUGUAAUAACUCACCUGCCGAAUGAAUUAGCCCUGAAAAUGGAUGGCGCUUAAGCGGGUUUUCCGACACCACACCGUUUGAAAAAAGUGUGUCUUCAGAUGAGUAGGAGGGUAUGGCGGUCGUAUAGAAGCGUAUGUGCAAACGUGCGUGGAACGGCCCCUAGUACAGAUCUUGGUGGUAGUAGCAAAUAUUCAAAUGAGAACCUUGAAGGGUGAAGUGGGGAAGGGUUCCACGCUAACAUUGAUUGGACGUGGGUAAGUCGGUCCUGAGCCUAUUGGUAAUUGUAAGGUAGUAGGCGAAAGGGAAGCAGGUUGAUAUUCCUGCACACGGAUGUAGAUGGCGGUGACGCACGUCUGAGGCGAUGACGUCGGCGAUAGCUCUGGGCAGAGUUUUCUUUUCUGUUUAACAUACUGACGCGCUCUGUGGAAUCCGCUUGUCGGGAGAAACAGGCGUGCUUAGGCAAAGCGCCGGGAUUUAUCCGGCGUCCAGAACGCUAUUGACGGCCCUUGAAAAAUCGUCUGCUGGCCAAAUCCAGGGUUGGUUGAUUCAUAUGAAUUUAUUCUUAUGGAAAUUCUGGCUUCUGCGUGUUUGGUGUAAAAAGUCUACGCCGUAUCGUACCCAUAACCGCAUCAGGUCCCCAAGGUGAACAGCCUCUGCUCGAUAUGGUAAA